GAUGAACGCUGGCGGCGUGCCUAAUACAUGCAAGUCGAGCGAACAGACGAGGAGCUUGCUCCUCUGACGUUAGCGGCGGACGGGUGAGUAACACGUGGAUAACCUACCUAUAAGACUGGGAUAACUUCGGGAAACCGGAGCUAAUACCGGAUAAUAUAUUGAACCGCAUGGUUCAAUAGUGAAAGACGGUUUUGCUGUCACUUAUAGAUGGAUCCGCGCCGCAUUAGCUAGUUGGUAAGGUAACGGCUUACCAAGGCAACGAUGCGUAGCCGACCUGAGAGGGUGAUCGGCCACACUGGAACUGAGACACGGUCCAGACUCCUACGGGAGGCAUCAGUAGGGAAUCUUCCACAAUGGGCGAAAGCCUGACGGAGCAACGCCGCGUGAGUGAUGAAGGUCUUCGGAUCGUAAAACUCUGUUAUUAGGGAAGAACAAAUCUGUAAGUAACUAUGCACGUCUUGACGGUACCUAAUCAGAAAGCCACGGCUAACUACGUG
rnacentral:rRNA from 1 species